CGCCACAAAUUGUGGUGGCGUCGCUCACAGAAGUGGCCCCCACCACCACCGCACGCUCGACGUUCGCUUCCCCGCCUAAUCUAUCACCCGUCUGUUGGGCACUCACGCUUUGCUCGUUGUCGCCCAGCAGGGGGCACAUCCGUUCCGGUUCUUCGGUCUCUCUGCCAUCCGUUGCACGCGAAAUAGCCGAAGUAUAGGAAAAAAAAAAUAGCAACACGUCUUCACAAGUGGGUGGGCUCCGCUCACACUUUCUAAUCCACUAUCGUCACAACCCAUCCGCACACGUCACUGUUGUCUUGUCUGCUCCAAAAGCCCGUCGUUGUGCGCUCCCAAGCACCACCUACCAUCAUGUCCGCUCUCUGGGCACGUUUUACGGAGAAGCUGAAGGGCUCCGGCUACACACUCAGUGACCUGGUGUACUGCAGCGAGGACACCUUCCUCACCCUUGUGGCGAAUAUGAACGCCUUUACCCCGCUGCAGAUCGCCUCGCUGGCAAAGGAGUGGCAAAGGAGCCUGUCGGCGGCAGCGACACCGGCAGCCACAAUUAGCGGGAGUGCGCUCCCAUUCUCGAGGCGUCACGCCGAGAGCACGCGGCUCAGCUCCUCACCUGCGCCGUCGUCGGCGCUCAAUCGGGCGACGUUGCCGGCCACCGGUGCAGCAGAGACGUCACCGAAUCACUCCACACUGAGCACAGCAUUGCGGGAGGACUCGUUCGUGCCGCCGCGGCGGUCGCCGGCGAAAGUGAAGGAGGAGGCCGAGUAUCUGCUCACAAAGCUCGGCGCGCAGAGCGGGGCGGAGUACCAGGUGUCGCUGACCGAAGGCAUUGUUGCCGUUGAGGCCUCGCCGGAGGCGUGGGGUCCACUGUUGGACCGCGUCUCGCGCAUGCAUGUGGCAAGCCACCGCGGCAGCGCCGCCGCCCCGCCGGCGACGGAGUUGCAGUUGUUGUGGAAGCUGUGCAGUCCCGCGACGCUGCGCAAGAUGGAAAAGGCGUGCGUGUCGGGCGCGCCUUUUGGGCUGUCGAAUCAAGAUGACGCGGACGAACUGUGCUCGAGUGCUGUGGUUCUGUACGACAAGGAUGCGACCCGGCUCGCCGCGCCGGCGCAGGAGCUCGAGCAACUGUUUCGCGAGGGGUGGGGGCUGGUGGCGUUUGACGUGGCGGUUGGCAAAGCGCGCACGGUGACCAAGGAGGAGGCGCAGGACCUCAACGCAAACCUCUACCGCUUUUCGAUGGGGCAAUGCCUCGAGAUGCUGGAGGAAGCCGGAUUCGACGCCUUCCACAUCCCCUCGCGCAACGCCGUGGCGGUGUGCCACAUGCAUCAGCUGAUGCCCCGCUUCGUCGUCUUCGUCAGCACGCUGGAGCCGGUCGUAGUGACACGCCGCCUGGGUGAUACCGUGCCGGCAGUCGGAAACGGCCGGCCGUCGCGUGCCCCUCCUGCGCCGGCAGCGUCGCCUUCUCCAUCUGCCUCCGCUGCUGCUGCCCUGCCCGCAGCGAGACGAACGAUCAACGGCGGCAAUGACGCCCUCGUCCCGGCGAGCCGGUCGUCGCGGAACAGCGAGGAUCUGCAGUGCGCGGUGCAUUCGAAAAAGACGGUGGAGUUCUGGUCGCCGACGGAGAAGCGCCUGCUCUGCAGUCAUUGUCUGUACUACGACGGGUACUCGCAAGAGAACUGCGUCCCGAUCGAGCAGGCUACGCGCGAGGAGGCGCCACGGUUGGAGCGGUGGGUGCAGAACGCCAUCACCUUUUCGCAGGAGAUCAAGAGUGUCUUUGACCUGUUCGAGGCGGCGCAGACAGACGUGUCGCAGACGCACAAGCAAGUCCGCAGCGACAUCGCGCAUAGCUUCACGCGGCUGCGCGCGCGGCUCGACGCGCUGGAGGCAAACCUGCAGCAGCAGUGCCAGCAAAAGGCGCAACAGAAUCUCCAGGCAUUGCAGGAUACCCUCUCCCGCAUCACUGCGACGGUUCAGUUUGUCAGCGAGGUGGUGCAAGACGCCGACGGGCCGGUCGCUGCCUAUCGCGGCGGCGUCGCGGACACGAGCACCUGCGUCGCGCUACUGCGCAGCGCGCAGCGUGCAUUUGGAGCGUGGGAGCCGGUCACCAUCUCAGCCUACGAAGACGUCCGCAUCGUCGACGGCAGCGCCCUCCUGCAUCCGGUCGAGGAGGCGCUCAAGGCGGUGCAGUCCAUCAGUAGCGAGGCUGGCAAGGUGCAGCUGCCUGAAGCGAUCGACGUUAACUACCUCAAGUCUGACUGCGACGUGUAAGCCUCGUUUAUAGAACUCCCCUGUACCAUGAAUGCCUCCUGUCUCUCUCUCGAGCGCAGCUCACCGACC
rnacentral:misc_RNA from 1 species